rnacentral:rRNA from 1 species
GGUAGUCCACGCCCUAAACGAUGUCAACUAGCUGUCGGGGUCUUCGGACUUUGGUAGCGCAGCUAACGCGUGAAGUUGACCGCCCGGGGAGUACGGUCGCAAGAUUAAAACUCAAAGGAAUUGACGGGGACCCGCACAAGCGGUGGAUGAUGUGGAUUAAUUCGAUGCAACGCGAAAAACCUUACCUACCCUUGACAUGUCUGGAAUCCCGAAGAGAUUUGGGAGUGCUCGAAAGAGAACCGGAACACAGGUGCUGCAUGGCCGUCGUCAGCUCGUGUCGUGAGAUGUUGGGUUAAGUCCCGCAACGAGCGCAACCCUUGUCAUUAGUUGCUACGAAAGGGCACUCUAAUGAGACUGCCGGUGACAAACCGGAGGAAGGUGGGGAUGACGUCAGGUCCUCAUGGCCCUUAUGGGUAGGGCUUCACACGUCAUACAAUGGUCGGGACAGAGGGCAGCCAACCCGCGAGGGGGAGCCAAUCCCAGAAACCCGAUCGUAGUCCGGAUUGCAGUCUGCAACUCGACUGCAUGAAGUCGGAAUCGCUAGUAAUCGCGGAUCAGCAUGCCGCGGUGAAUACGUUCCCGGGUCUUGUACACACCGCCCGUCACACCAUGGGAGUGGGUUCUACCAGAAGUAGUUAGCCUAACCGCAAGGAGGGCGAUUACCACGGUAGGGUUCAUGACUGGGGUGAAGUCGUAACAAGGUAGCCGUAUCGGAAGGUGC